ensembl:lncRNA
GCAGUUUGUUGAAGCGGUAGAGCAUCCGGUCUUUAGCUGGAGACUCCUGAGUCCAUGCCUUGUUGCACUGGUAUUUUUCAUUUUCUUUUUGUUUUCUACUUCAUUGCUGUAUCAUUUCCAUGUCACAUCAUGCAUUAAUUUUAGCAAACUUUGCCUAGAAAAAACAACUACCUCUGGUUUCUGCAAGACUUCGCUCCAGUAGCAUGUGUGCUCAUGACCUACGUUUGUUUUUCAUUUUCAGUAAUCCUUAAAAGCUAUGUUCCUACCCUAAUGAAUGCAUUGAUCUUUUCCAACUUAGCUACUUUAGCAAAGGUUGUGUAUGGUUGAUCAGAUACGUGGUAAACAAACGUUACUGUCAGUCUCAGUUCACUUCUGAGUAAGAGAAGCCCCCACAAGCCAACAGAAGUACUAAUGCACAGGCGGAACCAGUGGUUAGGCUGAUUUUUUUUUAUUUUAGGAAGCCUCUCUGCUGACCCAUUUGCUUCAUAUGCCAAAGAAAUGCAGUACUGCAGAUAUGAGCUUUGCUCUUCAAGCCAUUGACACAAACAAAUGGUUUAAUCUUCUUCUUUUGUCCUCCCUCGCACGGCCUUCAUUUCUGUACCAACAUUUGCAUUUUUAUGGAUGAGUAAUUGAGAGGGAGAAUGCACACUAAGAAGCUCAGUUUUCUGCAACAUCUUUUGAGCAAUCUUGGAAGUGCAGCAUAACAGCCCACUUACUAUUAAAUCAGUCCCAGCUGAAGAGAAAACCAAGUCUGGGGGGAAGGAAGACACAUUUUCCCUCUGAGGUUUAGGAGUAAGUGGAAAAUCGGGGAGGCAGAGUUGAAUGCAAAGAAAAUUCAUCUUUUUAAAACAAAAUUCUGAAGCCAGAGCACAAACAGUCAGUAUUAGGUAAAAAAAAAAAAAUCACAGAAUUACAGAAUCACAGAACAGUUUGGGCUGGAGGGGACCAAAGAUCAGCAAGCUCCAAUCCCCACCAUGGGCUGGUUGCCACCCACUGGAUCAGACUGCCCAGGGCCCUAGCCAACUUGGACUUGAAAAACAGCAAUGUGGGCUUUGAAGCAGUGAGGCACCUGGAAGCUGUUCCUCAGCCAGGAGAAAAAUGACUUCCUCAGGAGGGCUGGUGAGGCAGCAACACCAGUUUUGUUGCAGCCAGUGAUGAUGACGCUGCAGAUGCACCGGGGCAGCCAGAGCUGGGGCGAGGGGAAGGAAGCGGUGGAGGAGGACGCGCCGAUACCACUGAUGCAGCAUCUAACACUGCAGGAGCACCACACGCCAAUGUGCUCACAGGGCCGAAGUGAAGCGAGCACAGGCUGAAAGCUAAAAUAACAAGGAAUCAGAGAGAUAAGCCAGGUUUGGGAGAGGAUCUCUUGCACAGAUGGGGAAGCCUGGCUCUGAGAUUCCUAGCAAGGAAGCUGAAAUAAAGCCAUCAUCUCUCUUACUCAGCCAGCCAGCAUGACCGCAGAGCUAUCUCCAGUUGUGACUAAUGCCUAAAGCUGAGAACCUGCAGGUCUUGUGUCUUGCAGCAGGAGGUACACACUAAGCUCUGAAGUCACUUAUUUAUGUAUCUCUCACCUACAAACCUAGGAGAAAAAUGUUGCCAGCGCAUUUAACUUUUGGAACCCUGGCUAAACUGACUGACUUGGUGAAAUCACUCCAUGACCACUGUUUGUUGGUAGGGGUAAGUUCUAGUAAGUUCCAAGGCCCAGCAUGCCCAGCUAGGAGCUGCGUGGGGGAAGGGCAUGGAGGGGCUGGCAAGCUAUGGUGGUGCAGCCCCACUCCUGUGGGGCCCUUGGCUGCAUCCUGUGCUCUGCAACCACACAGCACUACCUGCUCAACUGCAAAUCUUAGCAAGCAACCCAAAUUCUUAGGAACCUCUUUGGCCAAGUAACCCAGGGCUCAGUACCCAUAGGCAGCUAUCUCCUACAAGAGCUCAGCUUAGACACAGUGCUGUUUCUCCAGGCAUGGAGGACGUAGGACUCCACCUGACCUCUCCAGUGUCACCUUCUUAUCUCCAAGACACCCACUGUAACCAUAUCUUCACCUUUUUGAACAGAAGCUUGAGGUGAUCUGUGCAAUAAGGUGUUCUAAACCAAUCACAGAGCCCUGGAUGUUUUUCUUACCUCACCUGAUGAGAUUCAGCACGGACAAGACCACCUUUGCAAUCGUAGGAGACGCAUCUCAGCCAUAUGGCUCCUCAGCAGACAGCCACCUCACAUUAACCAGAGGACAUUUACUAUUUGGAGGGUGGGGGGAAGCUGGCAGAGUGCCCCAGUGCUGCCAGUGUAAUGGUGAAACAGCAAAAAAGCAAGCAAGAACAGAAAGAUAUGGAGGGAUAGGAGUGAGAAAAAAAAAUUGUGGGGAGAGAAGAGCAGGGGCACAGUUUAAAAAGAGAUCAAGGUAUCUCUUCCUCCUAUCAAAACAUACUCCUUAAACGUAACCUAUAGUUCCUUUCUUUCCCUGUAGCCAUUUAUAAUGUGAACCUGUUCAUGCUUGUGUGCCUUGCAGGCCUCAUGGAGCAGGGCUAUGGGAGAGGUGCAUGACAGCCUUCCUUUCAUCUGUUAGCAUGGGUCCACUGUUACACAUUCCUACAUCUCCUGUGUGGCUGCAAACCCUGCUUCUCACUUUAGAUUGCCUGUUCUUGACAUGUACUGUGAAUAAAUAUAAAAACAUAUCAAGUAUGGAUGCAGGGAAGAGGAAGCAACAGCUCAAGGUUCCUCCAAUCCUGUCCUAAGACACAUCCCAAAUAUUUUCAGUGAUGUACCCUUUUCCUAAAAAGGCACAGCAACAAAGAAGUCUUUGUAUGGGACUUAGUGUUUCCUCUUUUCAACCCACACAUGAGCGACAGCCUUAACAAGAGGAGGAGUUGGUAGAGUAGCUAUGAUGUCAUUCAGUUAGUUGUGCUCCUUGUCAAACCUGUCAAUCUACAACCUCCUGAUGAGGUUGUCUGGCAAACCAUAAAUAUGUACUGCAUUCAGGCAAAAAUCCUACAGUGGUGGUAGAAUUGUAGAAUAUUCUAAGCUGGAAUGGACCCACAAGCAUCACUGAGUCCAACUCUUGGCUUCACACAGGACCACCCAAAAAUCAAAUCAUAUACCUGAGAGCACUGGUCAGCUCUCCAAAUAGAUACCGUAGGGUUAUUUAACCAGUGGUGGAUCUGGGCUGCUCUUCUUGCACUGUUGUGAUGUCUACACUACUACAAGCCAGCUGUUGGGAACCUGGCACAAGAAUGUUUCCAUUCUGGCAGGGAAGCCAGAUCAGGUCAGUUUCACACAUCCUUUGCAGUACAGUACUGCCCAGAGGAUUGCUGUACCUCAGAUACUUCAAAUCCUGCUUCUUCCACUGUGCUGUACGUGAAAAGUUUGGCUAACCCCUUCGUCAGUCAGGCUUCUGAAGAGGAAGCUGAGGGCUACUCUUCUCCUCUCCUACAUUCUAGAAGAAGUGCACUUCAUCUAAGUCUAGUCCUCAACCACGGAAAAAAUAGCCUGUUUUAAUAGUAAUGCUGGAGCUCUUCUGGAAUCUCUUGGAAUAAAAAAGAAGUCACUUCCCCUCUUAGAGCUCAGGGAAGAGAACACUGGCACAAAGGUGCAGCCUGUGUAACUGAAUGGCCCCAUAAGAUGCUAGGGCAUAAACCACCAAUCAGUAUAAAUAGUUUGCACAAGACUUACCUGCUG